UUUGACGUUACCUACAGAAGAAGCACCGGCUAACUCCGUGCCAGCAGCCGCGGUAAUACGGAGGGUGCGAGCGUUAAUCGGAAUUACUGGGCGUAAAGCGCAUGCAGGCGGCCUGUUAAGUCAGAUGUGAAAGACCCGGGGCGUUAACCUCGGAAUUGCAUUUGAAACUGGCAGGCUAGAGUCUUGUAGAGGGGGGUAGGAAGUUUCAGGUGUAGCGGUGAAAUGCGUAGAGAUCUGAAGGAAUACCAGUGGCGAAGGCGGCCCCCUCGGACAAAGACUGACGCUCAGAUGCGAAAGCGUGGGGAGCAAACAGGAUUAGAUACCCUGGUAG
rnacentral:rRNA from 1 species